GACGAACGCUGGCGGCGUGCCUAAUACAUGCAAGUCGAACGCACAGUUUAUACCGUAGCUUGCUACACCAUAGACUGUGAGUUGCGAACGGGUGAGUAACGCGUAGGUAACCUGCCUGGUAGCGGGGGGUAACUAUUGGAAACGAUAGCUAAUACCGCAUAAUAUUGAUUAUUGCAUGAUAAUUGAUUGAAAGAUGCUAUUGCAUCACUACCAGAUGGACCUGCGUUGUAUUAGCUAGUAGGUGAGGUAACGGCUCACCUAGGCGACGAUACAUAGCCGACCUGAGAGGGUGAUCGGCCACACUGGGACUGAGACACGGCCCAGACUCCUACGGGAGGCAGCAGUAGGGAAUCUUCGGCAAUGGACGAAAGUCUGACCGAGCAACGCCGCGUGAGUGAAGAAGGUUUUCGGAUCGUAAAGCUCUGUUGUAAGAGAAGAACGGGUGUGAGAGUGGAAAGUUCACACUGUGACGGUAUCUUACCAGAAAGGGACGGCUAACUACAUG
rnacentral:rRNA from 1 species